AUCUCUGUGUGUCUAAUAUGAUCACACAUGGUGUAUAUUUAUAUGCAAAUAGGGAAUAUACAAUAGGAAAUAAUAUCAAUUACAGUUAUGACUAAUUGAAUAUCAAUCAAUACUAAUUGAUUGAUAAUAUAUUCUUAACACUCCCCCUCAAGCCGGAUCGUAUAUAUUGUAUGAUCCGAGCUUGUUACAAAUAUAAUUCACUCGAGAACCCUUGAGAGACUUG
rnacentral:lncRNA from 1 species